rnacentral:misc_RNA from 1 species
AAGUCGUAACAAGGUCUCCGUUGGUGAACCAGCGGAGGGAUCAUUACAGAGUUGCAAAACUCCCAACCAUUGUGAACCUACCUCACCGUUGCUUCGGCGGGUGGCCAGGGGCAACCCGCGCCGCGCCGGCCCCCUCUUCGGGGGCCCGGCAAACCCGUCAGAGGACCGAAACUCUGUUAUUACUGGCCUCUCUGAGUAACUUAUACAAUAAGUCAAAACUUUCAACAACGGAUCUCUUGGUUCUG